ACAGGAGCUAAUACCGGAUAAUAUAUUGAACCGCAUGGUUCAAUAGUGAAAGACGGUUUUGCCGUCACUUAUAGAUGGAUCCGCGCCGCAUUAGCUAGUUGGUAAGGUAACGGCUUACCAAGGCAACGAUGCGUAGCCGACCUGAGAGGGUGAUCGGCCACACUGGAACUGAGACACGGUCCAG
rnacentral:rRNA from 1 species